GCAGAGGCUAGAGAAACCAGCGUGGGCAAAGGGCGGAUUGUUACCCACCGUCACCUGGAGCCGAAAAUAAGAGGGACUUCGUGGGGAAGCCCUGCGGGCUGAUGACUUCACGCUGGCCCUCCUCGGCAUUUCCUGAGGAUCAGAGACCCAGCUCUUGGGCCGGUUCAUUGUCUGUGGCUUCAGAGGAGCUUAAGAGAGAGGAGGAAGCAGCCCCACCCCUGCGGCUGGUUCCUGACCUCGGUGAGAGGCGCCGGGACGUUCUCCAGCCAGGGGAUGGAAGAGAAAAAACUUUGGCUCGAGCGACCGGAGGCAGAUUUGUAUUGCGCCGCAGUCGUCCCGGCUGGCAUCGGCCACGUCUCCCCACCCUUGAGAAGGGGUGCCGUGCGAACGCACGGAUUAGCCGGCGCUUUCCGAUGGCGCUGCGUGCGGGCCCUGCUGGGGCAGAAGCUUCCGGCUCCGCUCCCCUCCCCCCUGCUCCAGGUGGGACCCCUGAACUCCUCACAGAGUGAACAAGGCCAUGAAGGGCUGUCGAACCACCACGUCCUCCUAACUAACCCUGGGAAAGCACAGCUUUCCUUUCAGGGACCGUAGGGGCAGCCAAUCCCAGUACUCCCUUUCUUGGGAACGGGGGGGGGGGGGGGGCACGUGACCCAGGGAAGCCAAUCCCAAUGGCCCGGCAGCUGGCAGAGCCAAUCAGAGGCUUCCCUGGGAGUUUAUAUUGUGACCUCCCCCUCCGGAGACCCCUGUUGGCUCUAGGGCUGAGGCUUGGGGCCUCAGCGGCCUGAAGCUGCGUGGGACUAUCCCCCCCCCCCCCCGCCUUCCCCACAUGGAGGGGGCCUGUAUUCUGGGGGCAACAAGGCCCCAACCUCUGACUCACCCGGGCCUGGGAGUCUUAACAGUUUCCUUCUUCGCUUAAACAAAACAUCAGUCAAA